rnacentral:rRNA from 1 species
GCGGCAUGCUACACAUGCAGUCGACGCAGCGCGGGGUACCUGCGCGAGCGCGAACGGCGAGUAAUACAUCGGAACGUGUCCUGGAGUGGGGAUAGCCCGGCGAAAGCCGGAUUAAUACCGCAUACGCUCUGUGGAGGAAAGCGGGGGAUCUUCGGACCUCGCGCUCAAGGGGCGGCCGAUGGCAGAUUAGCUAGUUGGUGGGGUAAAGGCCUACCAAGGCGACGAUCUGUAGCUGGUCUGAGAGGACGACCAGCCACACUGGGACUGAGACACGGCCCAGACUCCUACGGGAGGCAGCAGUGGGGAAUUUUGGACAAUGGGGGCAACCCUGAUCCAGCAAUGCCGCGUGUGUGAAGAAGGCCUUCGGGUUGUAAAGCACUUUUGUCCGGAAAGAAAACCGCUUCUCUAAUACAGAGGCGGGAUGACGGUACCGGAAGAAUAAGCACCGGCUAACUACGUGCCAGCAGCCGCGGUAAUACGUAGGGUGCAAGCGUUAAUCGGAAUUACUGGGCGUAAAGCGUGCGCAGGCGGUUCGCUAAGACCGAUGUGAAAUCCCCGGGCUUAACCUGGGAACUGCAUUGGUGACUGGCGGGCUAGAGUAUGGCAGAGGGGGGUAGAAUUCCACGUGUAGCAGUGAAAUGCGUAGAGAUGUGGAGGAAUACCGAUGGCGAAGGCAGCCCCCUGGGCCAAUACUGACGCUCAUGCACGAAAGCGUGGGGAGCAAACAGGAUUAGAUACCCUGGUAGUCCACGCCCUAAACGAUGUCAACUAGUUGUCGGGUCUUCAUUGACUUGGUAACGAAGCUAACGCGUGAAGUUGACCGCCUGGGGAGUACGGUCGCAAGAUUAAAACUCAAAGGAAUUGACGGGGACCCGCACAAGCGGUGGAUGAUGUGGAUUAAUUCGAUGCAACGCGAAAAACCUUACCUACCCUUGACAUGUACGGAACCUUGCUGAGAGGUGAGGGUGCCCGAAAGGGAGCCGUAACACAGGUGCUGCAU